AUUGAACGCUGGCGGCAGGCCUAACACAUGCAAGUCGAACGAGUGGCGGACGGGUGAGUAAUGUCUGGGAAACUGCCUGAUGGAGGGGGAUAACUACUGGAAACGGUAGCUAAUACCGCAUACCAUCAGAUGUGCCCAGAUGGGAUUAGCUAGUAGGUGGGGUAACGGCUCACCUAGGCGACGAUCCCUAGCUGGUCUGAGAGGAUGACCAGCCACACUGGAACUGAGACACGGUCCAGACUCCUACGGGAGGCAGCAGUAGGGAAUCUUCGGCAAUGGACGGAAGUCUGACCGAGCAACGCCGCGUGUAUGAAGAAGGCCUUCGGGUUGUAAAGUACUUUCAGCGGGGAGGCGUUACCCGCAGAAGAAGCACCGGCUAACUCCGUGCCAGCCGCCGCGGUAAUAC
rnacentral:rRNA from 1 species